CCAUCAUCCAUCUCAUCACCAUCAUCCAUCUCAUCAUCAUCAUCAUCCAUCUCUCAACUAUCAUCCAUCUCUCAACUAUCAUCCAUCUCAUCAUCAUCAUCAUCCAUCUCAUCAUCAUCAUCCAUCUCAUCAUCAUCAUCCAUCUCAUCAUCAACACACAAUGGAUUUGCUGACUCCUCAGCACCAAGGGUGUACACUGGGAUCGACAUAGAGGGUUGUCAUGGUGACAAUAAGGAGGUAAAGGAUCGCCCCCUACAGUCCAGCUCAGGUAGUGAGACCACCACCAUCUACUCCACCGCCAACUUACCCACAAGCUCCUCUGACUCUCUCAACUACGCCAGCGUCAACUUCCACAAGAACCCCAGCUGCCCCAAUGAAGCCACUGUCGCCAUCGCUAAAGAGGGUACUUUUUCUGGUGACUAUGCCACUGUCAAAGUCAGUUAAAGACACCCCUACUCUACUGUCAAUCAUCCACACAGAUACUCUGAGGCUCCUCCCAUCUACUCCACAGUGAACAAAACCAGAGACACCUGAGUCACUGACAACCAAUCACGAGGGACAUGCACACACUGGCAACCAAUCACAAGAAACAUGUCAUGAACUACGUUUGCCACUAACAGCCUCUUGAGCACUGAGCUCUGUUUUUAGCAGACAGCUGCAUCAUGUGUUUCAUGUCCUCACAAUGUGUUUCCCUGACUUCUCUCUUCCAUCAGAUGUGUUACCCUGACUUCUCUCUUCCAUCAGAUGUGUUUCCCUGACUUCUCUCUUCCAUCAGAUGUGUUUCCCUGACUUCUAUCUUCCAUCAGAUGUGUUUCCCUGACUUCUCUCUUCCAUCAGAUGUGUUACCCUGACUUCUCUCUUCCAUCAGAUGUGUUUCCCUGACUUCUAUCUUCCAUCAGAUGUGUUUCCCUGACUUCUCUCUUCCAUCAGAUGUGUUUCCCUGACUUCUCUCUUCAACUUGUCUUAAUGUUAGUCACUUAAUUGCAUGUUAAUAUCUGCAGAUAAAUAUUGUCUCAAUAUUUUCCAAGCACUGAAAAAGGUAUCACACCUUUUGACCAAGGCAUUAUAACUGUCUAUUAACUGGGUUUUUUACACAUUUAUAAAUAAUUAAAUAAGCAUUAAUGAUGUCAUGAUAAACUCCCUAUAAAGGGUGCCUUUAAAACCACCCCCUUUUAGCUUGGCCUUUAACCAGUGAUUGUUUUAGACAUCCUCUGUGUUUUAUGUUCUAUUAUUCAUCCUUUUUACUGCUUCCUGUUUGCUUCUACUUUUUUAUUUGAUUGUUUUUAUGCAAAUUGGGAUGCGAUUUUCAAUGCAAUUGAAAUUAAAGAGGCAGUGCACUUUAAAAUGUUAAUUUCCAGUUGUUUUAAUGAUAUUUCCACCAUAUGAGGUCGAAUUAACACUCUGAAAUUCUGAGAAUGAUGAGAAUGCCCUUUUGUGUGAGAGCUGUUUGAAAAGAAUACCUGGAAUUUCAGCAUGUUCUUGAUGCCACAAUCUGAUCUGAUUGUAAUAGACCAAUGACUUGUCAUUUGGGUAAGUGGGUGGUCUCUAGACCAUCCUAUCAGCCAGUCAGGGCUGUUUAAGUAAAUAUCUUCACAUUUGUUUCCUAACGCCCACACGAUCAAACUGAGAAUUUCAAUGUCCACAAGAGGCUCAGGGAAAUACAUUAUAAAAAAUAUACUUUUGAGUUAUUUUUAUCAAAUAUACACACACAGUGACUAUAUACAAAUGACAUUGAAAUAACUGCAUGGGGGCCUUAAGUUGGAUUUGAUAUUUUCACAUACAGUAUGUUGCAGUUGGUACAAAACAGAGCAGCACGUAUUGCACUUAGAUGUACACGGAGGUUCAAAUGUCAACGACAUGCAUGUCUAUCUCUCCUGACUCAAAGUUGAGGAGAGAUUGACUGCAUCACUAUUGGUCUUUGUGUGAGAUGUUGAUGUGUUGAAGCUACCGAACUGUCUGUUUAGGCAGUUGGUUCACAGUUCAGACACUCAUUGGUACCAGACAAGACAUGCAACCAGAGGUCCCUUCACAUUCCCCAGGGCCAGAACAGAGGCUGGGAAACACAGUAUUAAAUAGAGCCAUGACUACAUGGAACUCUCUGCCACCUCAGGUAACUCAAGCUAACAGAUACAAGACCACCUUAUUGCAGGAUAGAGACUGUGAAGAGACACAGACAUGUUUAUGCAUUUUGUAUUGUUUUCUGCAUUGUAUUAUGUGUUGCAUUAUGUAUGUGAUACGUGGUUAGGAUCCGACUUUGAUAUGUGGUUGUCUCAUCUGGCUAUCUUAAGAUGAAUGUACUGGCUGUGGGUCACUGUGGAUGGGAGCGUCUGCUGUAUGGCUCAAUUGUAAUGUAAAUGUAGUGCUGUAUACUUAUGUAUAUUUUGUAUUUUAUUUGUUAUUUUGUUUCAUGUUUGGACCCCAGGAAGAGUAGUUGCCUCAGCAACAGCUAAAGGGGAUAAUAAUAAAUACCAAAUACAUCAAUGUGAAAAUG